rnacentral:rRNA from 1 species
GGGGAAUUUUCCGCAAUGGGCGCAAGCCUGACGGAGCCAUACCGCGUGAGGGAAGACGGCCUGAGGGUUGUAAACCUCUUUUACCCAAGAAGAACACAAUGACAGUAUUGGGUGAAUCAGCCUCGGCUAACUCCGUGCCAGCAGCCGCGGUAAGACGGAGGAGGCAAGCGUUAUCCGGAAUUAUUGGGCGUAAAGCGUCCGCAGGUGGCUUUACCAGUCUGCUGUCAAAGACCGGGGCUUAACCCUGGAGCGGCGGUGGAAACUGUAAGGCUAGAGUGCGGUAGGGGCAGAGGGAAUUCCAGGUGUAGCGGUGAAAUGCGUAGAUAUCUGGAAGAACACCCGUGGCGAAAGCGCUCUGCUGGGCCUGCACUGACACUCAUGGACGAAAGCUAGGGGAGCGAAUGGGAUUAGAUACCCCAG